GAAAAUUAGAAAGAAGAGCACCAUGAUCAAAAUCAACAUUCUGACAGCCAAAACUAUGGAAAGUAUAAAAAGAUACGUCCUUGACCUAUCUGAGGUCUUUCACAUCACUAGGCCGCAUGUAACAAAAAUGGCCAGUGCGCAAUAGGCCGAGAAAAAGGGAAAUAGAUAGAAAAGGCAACUACAGAAACAGACAGCUGACCAGAACAUAAAUGUAUCUCCAAGAACUAACCUACAGAUAACCAACUACACUACCUCUGCAUUCAUCUGAAAAACCUAUGCGCUUCGCAUUUCAACAUCAGUUUUUUUGCCAUGUUAGGAAGCUCUCACCAAUUCCUUUGACCAGCAGAUUACUGAGGCUGCUGCGGCAUUUGUUGCUGUUGAUGUGGAGGUUGUGCAUAAUUCCCAUACCCGGCAUAGCCUGCAUAGUACAUAUUUGGGUCCUGAGUAGGUUGGGCAUAACCAUAGGCGUCAUAUCCUGGUGUAUACCCAUAAUAACCCCCACUCCACUGGUUCGGAUCACCCUGAGACUGCUGCUUGUUUGAAGGGCUACGACCCCAUGAAAGG
rnacentral:misc_RNA from 1 species